CUAAGAAUCUUGCGCAAUGGGCGAAAGCCUGACGCAGCAACGCCGCGUGGAGGACGAAGGCCCUCGGGUCGUAAACUCCUUUUGCGAGGGAAGAAGAUCUGACGGUACCUCGCGAAUAAGCCACGGCUAACUACGUGCCAGCAGCCGCGGUAAUACGUAGGUGGCAAGCGUUGUCCGGAUUUACUGGGCGUAAAGCGCCCGCAGGCGGCUUGGCAAGUUUGGGGUGAAAUCUCCCGGCUCAACUGGGAGGGUGCCUCGAAAACUGCCAGGCUUGAGGCAUGGAGAGGGAUGCGGAAUUCCCGGUGUAGUGGUGAAAUGCGUAGAUAUCGGGAGGAACACCAGUGGCGAAGGCGGCAUCCUGGCCAUGUCCUGACGCUCAGGGGCGAAAGCGUGGGGAGCAAACCGGAUUAGAUACCCCGGUAGUCC
rnacentral:rRNA from 1 species